rnacentral:rRNA from 1 species
AUGACGCCCGGCGGCGAGGGGGCGUGCCUGAAGCGAUACACGGACCCAUCCUUGUUCAGAGCCCAGUCUGCCAAGCAUGAGCUUUUCGUGCAGGAAACCAAACCAAACCUCCUGCCGAGGAAGCCCACCACAAAUGCUCCAAAUUCAAAACAAGCGCGUUGCUCGAUACGCUCCGGCAACUUAAAUAUCGACACAUUAUCGGAAGAAUCAGACGUCAAAUGCACAUCACUCACAAUCAGGAUUCGCCAAAAGAUGAAGCAUCCGAAGCACACGUUUUGUCUUCAGCUGAUUCGCCUGAAACAUCAAACACCAGACUGUUGUGCUCUGCUGUGCCGGAGAAGGAGAGAAGCAGUGACCUCAUCGAGAGGACAAGUUCGUUCCGGGCAUUGCUCUCCGAAUGCAGCUUCUACUCAUGCUUAUGACAUCUUACAAGAAACCAAUGCUGAUGGAUCUGCCAGCCAUGCGCAAAGAAGGCCGACGAGAAUGCCAACAUUGCGACAAAUGCUCGUAGCGCCUUUAACGAAUUCAUUGCCUUGA